AUUUUCAUAAGCUAGUUUGAUUUGGUACCCAACUAUCUAACAUCUGAGUGAGUGAUUGAGUGAUUGAGUGAUUGAGUGAGUGAGUGAGUGAGUGAGUGAGUGAGUGAUUGAGUGAGUGUGUGAGU